CUACUACGCUCUUCCUGAAACUGAAUUGAAGAUGCAGAAUGCUGCUGGGAAAAGGGAGAUCAAGCUCUGGAGGCAAUCUUUGGGGUUAAACCAUUUGAGAAUGGUUAAACGUCUUCAGGUAAGAAAGUGCCAGGGACCUCCUGGUACCAUAACAAAUUAAUUUAAAUUAAGUUGUUAUGGUGCCCAGAGUGUUCCUUUAAAUGUUAAGCAAUGGAAAUUUUUCACCAGUAUGCUUUUUCUAAAGAAUGUUUUUCAGCGUCAAGCCAUCAAGUGAGAAAUCACAAAAUAGACAACAAAAACAUAUGCAGUAUCUCUACAACAACAGUGAAAAAAACAAUGUCUAUACAAUUGUUUUAGAACUUGUUCAACCUAUAAUUACAGCUGUAUUUAACACAUUCUAUUUGAGUUGAUAUAUUAGUCCAGUAAUGUAGAGAUGUGCAAUUGUUUUUGUACGAAUACGAUUUUGUCAGAAAAUUCAGAGGCUUUCGUAAACGAAAGCCCUACAAACAAAAUAUAAAUAAAAAAUGAAAGGGCAAAUGCCGAAUGCAUUACCUUUUCAUUUUGUUUCGUUCAUUUAAUAGACUCUGUGAUGUAGGGGAAUAAACCCCCACAGCACAAAUAAAUAACUGUGCACAUGGGCAAUAACAAAAACGAGGAGGGAGCCGGCAGCGCUACCAGCUCCCUCCUUGUAUUAAAUAACUAUUUCUACCACACCUGAAUUUAAACCUAUGGGGGUCACUAUGACCCCUAUAUUAAUAAAAGGGAGGUUAAAUCCUCCUGCAUGCCACUACUAGGGGCAUGUUGCCUAAACAGCAAGCAG